rnacentral:tRNA from 1 species
AGCAGUGUGGCCCAAUGGAAAGGGCACAGAUCUGGGGGUCAGAGGACCUGGGUUCUAAUCCUGGCUCUGCCA